rnacentral:lncRNA from 1 species
GCUCGUUCUGUGGUUUGACAAUAGAAUCCGUGGUGACUCUGGCUUUACACGAUUUUAUGGUACAUUUGUAGGAUAUGUUGUUAUGUUUCAGGACACUAACCUUUCAAUAUGUAUGGCCCUCUUUGGCUCGUUUCAGUGUGCAAUAUGUCCAUCGUGUUGCAACGAAGUUCCAGAACAAUAUGAAUCAAAAUUAACAUAAAUGAACAGAUGUUACCAAUGGUAUUAUAUAGUAUAGUACAUGUACAAGUAUUAACGUACCUGUAAAUCUAAUUAGGAGCAAAUAUAAAAUCGGC